CCCUAGAUGUUCUGGGCCGCACGCGCGCUACACUGAUGCAUUCAACGAGUUUCUUCCUGGUCCGAGAGGAAUGGGUAACCUUUUGAAAGUGCAUCGUGAUAGGGAUAGACUAUUGCAAUUAUUGGUCUUCAACGAGGAAUUCCUAGUAGACGUAGUUCAUCAGACUGCAUCGAUUACGUCCCUGCCCUUUGUACACACCGCCCGUCGCUCCUACCGAUUGAAUGCUCAGGUGAGCCAUUCGGACUUUCAUCAUGCUGGUUUCCAGUUUUGAUGAAGGAAAGUCUUGCGAACCUUAUCAUUUAGAGGAAGGAGAAGUCGUAACA
rnacentral:rRNA from 1 species